GAUGAACGCUGGCGGCGUGCUUAACACAUGCAAGUCGAACGAAGCACCUCUCCCGAAGAUUGACACAGCUUGCUGUAGAUUGAUUCAUUUGAGGUGACUGAGUGGCGGACGGGUGAGUAACGCGUGGGUAACCUGCCUCAUAGAGGGGGACAACAGUUGGAAACGACUGCUAAUACCGCAUAGUAAGAAGAAUUCGCAUGUUUUCUUCUUGAAAGAUUUAUCGCCAUGAGAUGGACCCGCGUCUGAUUAGCUAGUUGGUAAGGUAACGGCUUACCAAGGCGACGAUCAGUAGCCGGCUUGAGAGAGUGAACGGCCACAUUGGGACUGAGACAUGGCCCAAACUCCUACGGGAGGCAGCAGUGGGGAAUAUUGCACAAUGGGGGAAACCCUGAUGCAGCGACGCCGCGUGAGUGAAGAAGUAUUUCGGUAUGUAAAGCUCUAUCAGCAGGGAAGAUAAUGACGGUACCUGACUAAGAAGCCCCGGCUAACUACGUG
rnacentral:rRNA from 1 species